rnacentral:tRNA from 1 species
GGGCGGUUAGCUCAGUCGGUUGGAGCGUGGUGCUGCUAACACCAGGGUCACAGGUUCGACUCCCGUUUGGUCCC